UUUCCGUAGGUGAACCUGCGGAAGGAUCAUUAUUGUAUAACCGAGGUGCGAGGGCUGUCGCUGACCCGAAAGGUCGUGCACGCCCGAGUGCCCUCACACACAUCCAUCUCACCCCUAUGUGCACCACCGCGUGGGUCCCCCCUUGGCUUGUUCGGAGGGGGGCUUACGUUUUCACACAAACUUUGUAUGCAGUGUAGAAUGUAUUUUUUGUUUUUGCGAUCACGCAAUCAAUACAACUUUCAACAACGGAUCUCUUGGUUCUC
rnacentral:misc_RNA from 1 species